CUAGACUAAAUUUAAUAUUUCAGACUCACUGAGGACAUCAUAUUUUUUAAAGGAGGUUGUUUUCCCAAAAUCGACAUCUGAGACCUAAUUUCACUAAUUUUGGAAUCAAGGGUAAGAUGAAAUCCAAAUACCAUAAAAGUAGAUAGUCCAUGCUUCCAACUAAUAUUCGACAUUUUGGAUCUGUUAGCAUGGUAUGUUUUGCCAUUUGACAAAUCGAACAAGAAAUGUUCACAAAGUCAACUACAAGUCCUAUCCAACCUUUAAAAAUGACAAACAUGCAAUAAUUAUUCUGGAUCAUGCCAGGAACUAUGUCAACAAUCCCCACACCCCUAGAAACAACAUAUAGAAAUGAUAUAUAGGGGUAACAUGGACAAAUACAUAAGAAAAAUAAAGUUCACAGAAUUAAUUUAUUACAUCAAUAUCUUAGAAAAUUCUAUCACAAGUCAAAUAUUAGGUUAGAUUAGCUUGAGGUCCAUAAUCCCUCUUGAACAUUGGAAAUUUUUUUUAAUAAAAUUGAUAUACAAAUUUGUCCCUCCAUUUCCCCUGGACCCCAUGAUAAUUUCCUCGAACACCUCCACUUUGAUUGUAAAUGUAACCUACUUCUCAUUUAUUGAGGUCACCAUAAUCUUCUCCUAACCCUUGCCUUUGACCUUUACUGACAUUUUGUAUUACUUUAUCCCAUACCUUGAGGUUAGUUACCAUAACUUCCCCUACCAUAUCGAAUCAAACCAAAUCUUUCUUCUUUACCUCUAUGUCUAACUUUACCACUUAGUACCAUACAUUGUUCUUAAUUUUGUAGAAUCUUUUCAUCUUAGCACACGUACUCAUCUUGUUGAAUUUUACUUUACGUCCUAAACUUGGAUUGGUAAGUUUUUGUUAUAUGGUAUACCAUGUAAUAGGUUAUGGUUUUUUUGAGUUUGGGGUGGAGGAUCUUGGUUUUGUGAUAUUUGGUGAGGUGGAUCUUGAUUUGGUGGAGCUUUUUGGUUAACUUGGUUAAGAUGGAGGUGUAAUAGUCAAAUGGGCUUUGGGAUAUUUUUUUUAGUAGUGGUUUCUAUGUAUGGAGCAUCUUCUUGUAAGGGUGGAUAUAACAUUUGAUGAAAGGUUCUGAGGGUGAUAUUAGUAGAUGUUUUGUGGGUCUAUCUACUUGAAGAGUUUUUGUAGUUUUGUGGAGUGGACUGAUAAGAGUUUAAAUAAACCAUCCUUCCAUCAAUAGAUGUCACACUACCUUGUAGGGUGGACAUUUGAACUUCCAUUAAUUCUAUCUUGUCCUAUGAUUCAAACCAUCAAUCAUCGCUAGGAGAGUAUUCAAAGCAUUCCCAUAUAAGAGAUUUGGUGUUUCACCUUCCUUAACCAAUGUACCUAGCAAGAAGACACUCAAUAAAACUCUUAGUAUUAAUUAAUUAAACCUCACAAUCGCUUGUGUUUACACACUUUUGAUUUCCUUACAAACUGAAUUUUCUAUCAUUAAAAUCUUUCAUAUACUUUAACGGUAUACGAGGUGUUGUUUCUACUCAUGGCUGCAAUGGAUUAUUAUUUUAAACAAAAAAGUAUAACUUGAUUAAUCUAACAUGGACUUGAAUAAAGAAGUAAUGAUGAAGUAAUACAAGAAAAGAACAAAAAGUACUAUAAAGGAAAAUAACUCAAGAAAUAAUCAACAACUUAGUAAGAAUAUUUAUGAGAUGAAAAAUUGGUUUAAGAAUCAAAGAAAGUGAUUAGCAAUUAAUGAAAUGAUACUAGAAUGCUAGAACCUGAGAAAAUAAAGGUGGAGAGAGAUUAUUUUUUGUUUUGGUGAUGUGCUGAAGCAAAUGGAGAUAUGUGCGUUCAUAAAUGCCAAAGAAAAAAUAGAAAGUUCUAUUUCUGACUUGCAUAAUGUAAAUCGUGAAAUCUAAGCACAAUUGUUGGCACAAAUGCCUCUGAUGAGACAAAUGGAGCCUUUAAAAAUUGUUCUUUUAUGGGCCCCUUUUCUAGUCAUUUACUUGUCUUUUCACCUUUUGAAAAUUUUUCUUUUUAUACCAACAAUUUUUCUUUUUUUCUUUUUUGCUUGGAUCAAACACCAUAAAUUAUAUUGUUCUUUCUCUUGAAGAUUACUCUAGAAAACUUGAAGAAUGGUUAAUACACAUAAAUCACAACUCCUUCAACAAAAAAAAAACUGAGAUCUAGGCUCCUUUCAGUAUGGAAAACAAUCCCUAGUACUUUUAAACACUCAAAUCAAAGACAAAAAUCCUAGAUCUAAGAACCAACUUGUAAUUACUUCAAGCUUCAAGAACUCAACAAUGGUAUUCUUGCAAAUCAACUACAAACACACCUAUAGCAUUGAUAUAGAAAAAUUUUAUACUAGAAAAAGAAAAUCUAGUAUCAGAAACUCAAAACAAUAAAAUAUUUUUUGGAUUAUUCGCGGUAAAUAAUUUUACCGUCUUUUUUGUAAUAAACUCAAGACUAGAACUGUUUGAAUGAAUUGGCUCUAAUACCAAAUGAUAUGUUUAAUGGAUAUACUAAAAGAUAAAAAAAAUAAGAAAACUAAAGAAAAUGAUAAUAAAGAACACAGAUUGACACAAAUAGUUAAUAGAAAAGUAAACUAUGGGUAUUUCAAAUCCGAAAACCGUUUCUCAAUUAUCUUACAAGCACCAAAUCUAUAGAGUUUGACAUCGAGGGAAUUGCUCCUUUUCAACCAAUUAUUCUAUAUAAGCAUUGAACAAAAGAUUAAAAGCUCAACUUUCAUUAGGAGUUUUUGCAUCAAUAAUCUACAUUAACUACUGAAUGAAUAAAAGAUGGUAAAAAAUUGGAAAACUAUAUGAUCUUUAUUCAAGGCUAAC
rnacentral:lncRNA from 1 species